UGGGGAAUAUUGGACAAUGGGCGCAAGCCUGCUCCAGCCAUGCCGCGUGAGUGAUGAAGGCCCUAGGGUUGUAAAGCUCUUUCACCGGUGAAGAUAAUGACGGUAACCGGAGAAGAAGCCCCGGCUAACUUCGUGCCAGCAGCCGCGGUAAUACGAAGGGGGCUAGCGUUGUUCGGAUUUACUGGGCGUAAAGCGCACGUAGGCGGACUUUUAAGUCAGGAGUGAAAUCCCGGGGCUCAACCCCGGAACUGCCUUUGAUACUGGAAGUCGUGAGUAUGGUAGAGGUGAGUGGAAGUCCGAGUGUAGAGGUGGAAUUCGUAGAUAUUCGGAGGAAAAACAGUGGCGGAGGCGGCUCACUGGACCAUUACUGACGCUGAGGUGCGAAAGCGUGGGGAGCAAACAGG
rnacentral:rRNA from 1 species